rnacentral:rRNA from 1 species
GUGGUAAUGCCGGAUGCUCCAGUUGACCGCAUGGUCCUCUGGGAAAGCUUUUGCGGUAUGGGAUGGGGUCGCGUCCUAUCAGCUUGAUGGCGGGGUAACGGCCCACCAUGGCUUCGACGGGUAGCCGGCCUGAGAGGGCGACCGGCCACAUUGGGACUGAGAUACGGCCCAGACUCCUACGGGAGGCAGCAGUGGGGAAUAUUGCACAAUGGGCGCAAGCCUGAUGCAGCGACGCCGCGUGCGGGAUGACGGCCUUCGGGUUGUAAACCGCUUUUGACUGGGAGCAAGCCCUUCGGGGUGAGUGUACCUUUCGAAUAAGCACCGGCUAACUACGUGCCAGCAGCCGCGGUAAUACGUAGGGUGCAAGCGUUAUCCGGAAUUAUUGGGCGUAAAGGGCUCGUAGGCGGUUCGUCGCGUCCGGUGUGAAAGUCCAUCGCUUAACGGUGGAUCCGCGCCGGGUACGGGCGGGCUUGAGUGCGGUAGGGGAGACUGGAAUUCCCGGUGUAACGGUGGAAUGUGUAGAUAUCGGAAAAA